rnacentral:misc_RNA from 1 species
GGUGGUCACAACAUAUUCAAUCGUAAGCAUGGAGGUCCCUAAGCAGCCUGUUGGAGAAGACGAUGAGGAGACAGGAAAAGGAACUCAUGAAUUACCUUCUAGUAAAAAGAGAAAAACUCCUUCGAGCUCAAAGAAAAGUUCAUCAAAGGCGAAAAAAGAGGUGGAUAAGGAAUUGCUUGAAGCCAGUGCACGCCCUCUUGCCAGGGUGGGAUGGUAUAGGGUCGUGCUGGAUGAGGCACAAAGCAUCAAGAAUUACAGAACCCAAGUAGCUAGGGCUUGUUGGGGUCUCCGAGCUAAACGUAGAUGGUGUUUGUCAGGAACACCUAUCCAAAAUGCAGUUGAUGACCUUUACAGUUACUUCAGAUUCCUCAAAUAUGACCCAUAUGCAGUGUACAAACAAUUCUGCUCCACAAUCAAGGUUCCAAUCCAAAGACACCCAACAACUGGGUACAGAAAGCUGCAGGCCGUGCUUAAGACUGUUAUGCUUCGUCGCACUAAAGGUACUUGUAUUGAUGGAAAACCCAUUAUCAACCUUCCAGAGAAACACAUUGUUCUGAGAAAAGUUGAAUUUACGGAUGAGGAACGAGAAUUCUACUGCAGACUUGAAGCUCAAUCACGUGCUCAGUUUGCUGAAUAUGC